UACGUAGGGUGCGAGCGUUGUCCGGAAUUACUGGGCGUAAAGAGCUUGUAGGUGGUUUGUCGCGUUGUUCGUGAAAUCUCACGGCUUAACUGUGAGCGUGCGGGCGAUACGGGCAGACUAGAGUACUGCAGGGGAGACUGGAAUUCCUGGUGUAGCGGUGAAAUGCGCAGAUAUCAGGAGGAACACCGAUGGCGAAGGCAGCUCGCUGGGACGGUACUGACGCUGAGGCGCGAAAGCGUGGGGAGCAAACAGG
rnacentral:rRNA from 1 species